rnacentral:rRNA from 1 species
UACGUAGGUGGCAAGCGUUGUCCGGAUUUACUGGGCGUAAAGAGCGCGCAGGCGGUCGUUCAAGUCGCGUGUGAAAGCCCCCGGCUCAACUGGGGAGGGUCACGCGAUACUGAUCGACUCGAAGGCAGGAGAGGGUAGUGGAAUUCCCGGUGUAGUGGUGAAAUGCGUAGAUAUCGGGAGGAACACCAGUGGCGAAGGCGACUACCUGGUCUGUUCUUGACGCUGAGGCGCGAAAGCUAGGGGAGCAAACGGG